CACGUAGGAGGCAAACGUUAUCCGGAUUUACUGGGCGUAAAGCGCGUGUAGGUGGUUCUGUAAGUAGGGCGUGAAAGCUCCCGGCUCAACUGGGAGAGGCCGUUCUAAACUGCAGAGCUGGAGGAUGGUAGAGGGAGGUGGAAUUCCAGGUGUAGCGGUGGAAUGCGCAGAUAUCUGGAGGAACACCAGUGGCGAAGGCGGCCUCCUGGACCAUUCCUGACACUCAGACGCGAAAGCUAGGGUAGCAAACGGGAUUAGAUACCCGGGUAGUCCCUGA
rnacentral:rRNA from 1 species